UAGGGAAUCUUCCGCAAUGGACGCAAGUCUGACGGAGCAACGCCGCGUGAGUGAAGAAGGAUUUCGGUUCGUAAAACUCUGUUGUUAGAGAAGAACAGCGCAUAGAGUAACUGUUAUGCGUGUGACGGUAUCUAACCAGAAAGCCACGGCUAACUACGUGCCAGCAGCCGCGGUAAUACGUAGGUGGCAAGCGUUGUCCGGAUUUAUUGGGCGUAAAGCGAGCGCAGGCGGUCAAUUAAGUCUGAUGUGAAAGCCCCCGGCUCAACCGGGGAGGGUCAUUGGAAACUGGUUGACUUGAGUGCAGAAGAGGAGAGGGGAAUUCCAUGUGUAGCGGUGAAAUGCGUAGAUAUAUGGAGGAACACCAGUGGCGAAAGCGACUCUCGGGUCUGUAACUGACGCUGAGGCUCGAAAGCGUGGGUAGCAAACAGG
rnacentral:rRNA from 1 species